CACGUUUUUAAUCGGCUAUCUCUUUCAGAUUGCAAGAUGCUACAUCUUAAGAAAACACCAGCAAGUAGAAAAGCAGUAAAAGGGCAUCUGAAGAACUGCACCGACUGUUAAAAGAAAGAGUGGAUUAAUCAGUGUAGUGAAGGAGAGAAAGAAGCAAGGGCCACUGUAGAAGCAGGUAACAGGUCAGCUCAGCUCUCACUCUUUCACCUGAGCCAAAUGGAACAGAUCCAUGAAGAAAUGUUUGUGGGACUAAAGGUUCAGAUCCGAGACAGGUUUUUUUUUCCAGUAGUCAACAGUGAGUGAGCACAAUAAAAAGGGAGCUCAGAAAAGGCUUUGGGGUCCUCAGGGUCAGGUCGUUGUUGGAUCAGUUUCCCCCAACCAUCACCAUCUCAGCUGUAGCAAUCCAUCACAGAAGGCCCAAGCACUGGACUGGGAGCCCCUAAACCAACAGUGACUGGCCACAGAGAAGGGUGAGCUGCUGUCCCAGGCCCUCCCACCAUCACCUGUCACCUGUUAUUGUCAGCAGCCCUCUGACUCCUUAUAGAAAACAGGGCAGCAGCUGGCCUAAUGAAGCAGACUGUGUGAUGGGUGGCCUCUGCGAGUGUGUUAAAGGUUGCUUUGCAAGUCCUUUUGCUGUGUACCAAGGCCUCUUUUGCCAAAGGAAAAAAAAAAAAAAACAUCUCGCACCAGAACACCUUAUCUAAGGGGGAAUGAGGUUUGCUGGGCACAAAGAAAAUAGCUGUCAUUUAGUAGGAAGGGGAAUGAUCAAAAGCCUUUCAUGCUUUGAAAUGAUCUCAUUGUUUGUUUACAUAACAGCUUGAGAACGGGUGAGUCAUUUGUUCUUUGAUUUCCUUUAAUUGCCCGGAAAUAUUACAAGCAGCGAGCAGACCUCUUCAGUUACGGGCUGAUCAAAACUCAAGGGAGAGAACCAAAUCAAACCAAAACUGAACAAGCAGAUGAUGAUAUAUAGAUUUAAAAAAUGGGAUGUAGGAUCCAGGUGUCACCUCAUGCUACCAGUAGUGACACUGACCCUAGCCAAAUGUCUGUGGCCUCCAUCUGUAAAACUAUUUCUGUUUUUUGGAUUGCCUCACUCUCCCUCUAGUGCACCUGUUGUUAAUUUUAUGAAGACCAAAGCAGCUGAAACGGAUUACAAAACCCCCUCUACCACUUAACUGACAGAUCAGUAACUCAGUUUAAUUGUCUUGAUGCAAAAAAGUGUUCAUUUAAUUUUUUGAGUAGUAUACUGAACAUCAGCAUGGACCCCACUCCAAAUACAUAUUCCCCAUGCAUCUUUCAUGAGAGGCUCUCUGAACACUAAAUGUCCACUUGAAUCACCACUUGAUGUAUAUAUGAAUAAAAAUAUCACAUAUU